GAUGAACGCUGGCGGCGUGCCUAAUACAUGCAAGUCGAGCGAACAGACGAGGAGCUUGCUCCUCUGACGUUAGCGGCGGACGGGUGAGUAACACGUGGAUAACCUACCUAUAAGACUGGGAUAACUUCGGGAAACCGGAGCUAAUACCGGAUAAUAUAUUGAACCGCAUGGUUCAAUAGUGAAAGACGGUUUUGCUGUCACUUAUAGAUGGAUCCGCGCCGCAUUAGCUAGUUGGUAAGGUAACGGCUUACCAAGGCAACGAUGCGUAGCCGACCUGAGAGAGUGAUCGGCCACACGGGAACGGAGACACGGUCCAGACUCCUACGGGAGGCAGCAGUAGGGAAUCUUCCGCAAUGGGCGAAAGCCUGACGGAGCAACGCCGCGUGAGUGAUGAAGGUCUUCGGAUCGUAAAACUCUGUUAUUAGGGAGGAACAAAUGUGUAAGUAACUAUGCACGUCUUGACGGUACCUAAUCAGAAAGCCACGGCUAACUACGUG
rnacentral:rRNA from 1 species